rnacentral:rRNA from 1 species
UACAGAGGGGGCAAGCGUUGUUCGGAAUUACUGGGCGUAAAGGGCGCGUAGGCGGCCUGCUAAGUCGAAUGUGAAAUCCCCGGGCUCAACCCGGGAACUGCGUCCGAUACUGACAGGCUUGAAUCCGGGAGAGGGAUGUGGAAUUCCAGGUGUAGCGGUGAAAUGCGUAGAUAUCUGGAGGAACACCGGUGGCGAAGGCGGCAUCCUGGACCGGUAUUGACGCUGAUGCGCGAAAGCCAGGGGAGCAAACGGG